GGCCUCAUAUCCAUGAUUGACCCUCCCCGAGCUGCAGUGCCUGAUGCUGUGAGCAAGUGUCGCAGUGCAGGAAUUAAGUGAUCAUGGUAACAGGAGAUCAUCCCAUUACAGCUAAGGCCAUUGCCAAGGGUGUGGGCAUCAUCUCAGAAGGCACUGAGACGGCAGAGGAAGUCGCUGCCCGGCUUAAGAUCCCUAUCAGCAAGGUCGAUGCCAGGCUGCCAAAGCCAUUGUGGUGCAUGGUGCAGAACUGAAGGACAUACAGUCCAAGCAGCUUGAUCAGAUCCUCCAGAACCACCC
rnacentral:lncRNA from 1 species